AUGCUGCGGACGUCAUUUGACGUCUUUGAUUUGCCGUGCCUACAGUGCUAUGGACGUCAUUUAGUUAUUUUGAUUUGCCGUGAAGUGCUGUGGCCGACAAUUGCAGUUUCCUGCGCACGUGUUCAUUUGUGGGUAAUUCAAGGCGGGGCUAGCGCUUGCUGAGUAGUGGGCGGUCUCUUUACGUCUGCGUUUAGAUGUUGUUAUUCACUCAUUGCCGAUGCUUGUCCCAACACGAAAACAUUGCGAUUUCUAUCAGUUUUACUUUAGUAUUGCAUCAUUUUUACAUCAGUAUCGUCCUAUUAGUUUUUAUAAAUAAUGGACGAGCAGCAACCGGGGCCUUCAAAAGCGUUACCAAGACCUAAGAAGGGGCAGUUUUAUACUGAAAAAGAGUUACUUGAAAUUCUUACUCGAAGCGACAGUGAAGACGAAUACAUAGAAAAUACGCAAAAUGCUUUAGAUUCCGAUGAAGAAAUGGACGUUGCUCAAGAGCCCGAAGACCAAACAUCGAAUAAUACCUACGAUUUUCUCUGGAAAAAAAAAGACCUUCUACCAAAAACAUUUGCAUUUGACUCGUCAGAGGUUGGUUGCACAAUUGAUGGGCUGACUGCUGAAAAUAAACCUUUGGAUUUUUGUAAAGUAUUUUUUACGGACAAUAUAGUAAAUCAUAUAGUUACGGAAACAAACAAAUUUUAUAUUUACGUUUGUGAACAUGUGGAAGUAUCCGCUAAGUCACGUUUGAAGAAAUGGAAAGAUACAGAUUUCAAUGAGAUGUGGUUAUUUUUUGGGAUUACAUAUCUGAUGCCUCGUGUAAAAAAAUUGCGCCUCAGUGAAUACUGGUCAACAAACACACUAUUAUCUACUCCAGCAUUUUCUGAGCUUAUGUCGCGUGACAGGUUUUUUCUGAUUUUGCGAAUGUUGCAUUUCUCGGACAACAAUCUGCCAAAAAACGGCGACAGUUUGGUCAAGAUUAGAGCAGUAAUAGACCACGUACGUGAUGCUUUCCGAAACGCUGUCAAGCCGCAUAAAGAAUUGUGCAUAGAUGAAAGCCUUUUGCUUUUCAAAGGCCGACUCUUUUUCAAACAGUACAUACCCUCGAAGAGACAUCGAUUUGGUGUAAAGUUUUUUGUUUUAUGCGACGCAGUGACUGGGUACAUUCUCGAUUUUGUUGUCUAUACUGGAGCAACAACUGACUUACAAACGAAUAAUUGUAAUUUGGGUAAAUCUGGCGAUGUGGUGCUAACGCUUUUGGCACGCUAUUUGGAUAAAGGUCAUACUUUGUAUUGUGACAAUUGGUAUACAAGCCCCAGUCUGUUUGUAUGGCUGUAUAAUAGAGCUACAAAUGCGUGUGGAACUGUGCGGAAAAAUAGAAAAUAUAUGCCGCAAAUGGCAGAAAAGCUUCAGAGAGGAGAAUGGAGUUUCCGAAGUGAUGACAAAUUGUUGUCGCUAAAAUAUUGUGAUAAACGAGAAGUAUACAUGCUUACGAGCUUACAUAACAACACCGGUAUGGAAACUGGUAAAAAAGAUCGCCUCACUGGGAGGACAAUUGUAAAACCCCAGUGUAUUGUUGCAUACAAUAAGUUUAUGGGUGCAGUAGACAAGACGGACAUGCUACUGAGUUCAGUAGAGUGCGUCCGAAAAACUGCGAAAUGGUACAAAAAAGUUUUCCUUCACCUUAUGGAUAUGGUUCUGCUCAAUGCAAACGUUUUGAAUAAUAUAGUAGCAAAAACUAAAACUUCGUUGGCAGAAUUUCAACUGACACUCAUCCAACAGAUAGUGGAAGAAAAUCACAAGGGGAAAAUGCGCACGUCAGCAGGUCGAAGAUCAGUCGACGACAAUCCAUUGCGGCUUACUUGUAGGCAUUUUCCGUCGCAUGUACCUCCCACAACAAGUAGGAAAGUUGGACUAAGAAAAUGUGUUGUGUGUGCCAAAAACAAAAAAAGAAAAGAAACAAGUUUUAUGUGCCGUGAGUGCAAUGUGCCUUUAUGUGUUGUGAAUUGUUUUGAAAGAUUUCACACCAUCAAACAUUUUUAGAAAGUAAGUUCUACAUAACAAAUGACUAUUUGGUUUUAUUUUUUGUUUUGGAUAAUUUUGUUUUUCUUUUGUUAUGGAUAAUUUUGUUGUUUUUUUGUUAUGGAUAAUUUUUUUGUUUUUAUUUGUUUUGUUAACAUUUGUUUACAUUGAAUUUGAAUGCAAAAAUAUGUGCAAUAAUUUUUUAAUUUGUUUUAUCUAUCUUCCCAAACAGCACAGUACGUUUUGAGUACGUACAAUUUUGGUACUGUACGUACAUGAUGUAAAAUGUACGUUUUAAGUACGUACACUGGGGUACAUACCAGUACGUACAGAAGUACCAGUACGUAAUAGUACGUACUAAGUACGUACUAUUACGUCCAAGUAUGUACCAUGAGAAAGAAGAGCUAUUAUGUCAGGUUAUGUUAACCUAACCUAAUUUAUUUGGUUAGGCACUUUCCUUCCACCUCGAGUGCUCGAGUACAGUUUUGAUGUGAUAAUUCAUUGCAAGACAGUUUCAUUUAGAUUUUUUUUACUUAUUUUUGGUGUUGGAGCUUUAUAUAGUGUGGUUUCCUGUUAUCUUAUUGAGAAGCUGCAAUAAAAAGUCAAAAAUGUAGUGAUAAGAAGGUGGCGGAGCAAGAAAUUGGACGAUGGUUGAGGAGAGCCAGGGAUCGCUUAAAAACUUUCAAGGAAAAGGAAUCAGAAUAAAAAUUGAAAUUAUUUUUUUUUUAAAUAAUAAAGAUAUAUUCACCUA
rnacentral:misc_RNA from 1 species